GCCUUCUCUGUCUAGCGGUGCGCUCCCGUGGCGCCGUGGGAAAGCGCGCUGGUUUCUGCCAAAUGCAGUUAGCUUUGCUUCGCUUCCCUAAGUGCGUUCCCCCAGGGGCCCGGCAGUGUGCUAGGGGCACCCUGCUUCGUAAGUGAGGCAGACAGCCCGUGAUAAAUGCCAAAGUAGAAGCCCCUCCGAAAAAUUAAGGAGCCGAUUGGGCGGGACUAACCCUAAGGGAGGGCAGGGGAAGCGACCGUCACCUCCGGGCGCCGGGGACUCGGAACGCCGGGUCGGAGCUCGGCAGGCGGAGACACUAUCUGUUCUGUUGCAAUGCAAAAGGAUGAAAGUAACAGUGGCUGCUGCUUAUGGGGCUUGAUAGUUACUAUGUAGCUGCAUGUAUUAAUUCAAGCCUCACUGUGAGCUUACCAUGUUUUACCAGUGACCUUUUGAAUCUUCACCAGAACACUACAAGGAACAGACAUUGAUGCAGUUUCCUUCCUGGAGAGGGUACACACUCAGAUCAUGAGACCUAAGAUAAAACACACACUGGAUUGUCAAGAAUCAAACAAGGACUACCAAUGGGAUCUAAUUAAACUAAAGAGCUUCUGCACAGCAAAAGAAACUACCAUCAGGGUGAACAGGCAACCUACAAAAUGGGAGAAAAUUUUCGCAACCUACUCAUCUGACGAAGGGCUAAUAUCCAGAAUCUACAAUGACCUCAAAUAAAUUUACAAGAAAAAACAACCCCAUCAAAAAGUGGGCUAAGGACAUGAACAGACACUUCUCAAAAGAAGACAUUUAUGCAGCCAAAAAACACAUGAAAAAAUGCUCAUCAUCCCUGGCCAUCAGAGAAAUGCAAAUCAAAACCACAAUGAGAUACCAUCUCACACCAGUUAGAAUGGCAAUCAUUAAAAAGUCAGGAAACAACAGGUGCUGGAGAGGAUGUGGAGAAAUAGGAACACUUUUACACUGUUGGUGGGACUGUAAACUAGUUCAACCAUUGUGGAAGUCAGUGUGGCGAUUCCUCAGGGAUCUAGAACUAGAAAUACCAUUUGACCCAGCCAUCCCAUUACUGGGUAUAUACCCAAAGGACUAUAAAUCAUGCUGCUAUAAAGACACAUGCACACGUAUGUUUACUGCGGCAUUAUUCACAAUAGCAAAGACUUGGAACCAACCCAAAUGUCCAACAAUGAUAGACUGGAUUAAGAAAAUGUGGCACAUAUACACCAUGGAAUACUAUGCAGCCAUAAAAAAUGAUGAGUUCAUGUCCUUUGUAGGGACAUGGAUGAAACUGGAAAUCAUCAUUCUCAGUAAACUAUUGCAAGAACAAAAAACCAAACACCGCAUAUUCUCACUCAUAGGUGGGAAUUGAACAAUGAGAUCACAUGGACACAGGAAGGGGAAUAUCACACUCUGGGGACUGUGGUGGGGUUGGGGGAGGGGGGAGGGAUAGCAUUGGGAGAUAUACCUAAUGCUAGAUGACGAGUUAGUGGGUGCAGCACACCAGCAUGGCACAUGUAUACAUAUGUAACUAACCUGCACAAUGUGCACAUGUACCCUAAAACUUAAAGUAUAAUAAAAAAUAAAAAAAGCUGAAGAUAAAAGCAGAUGUUUGAAAAUAUUCUUCAUGCUAAGCUCAUGUAAGCAAACAAAAAACUAAAAGUAAUCCUUAAACUUUAGGACAUUAGAUGCAGAAGUAACAUGACUAUUUAAAUUUUGGCACCAACAAAAGUUUGUUCUAUCCUUCACUGUACUUAUACUACAAGGACAUGCUUGUUGCUUCUACACUUCCCAAAGUCAACAGUUAUCAUCAACAAUGCAAUAAAACUAGAUUGGAAUGGACGGGCACGGUGGCUCAUACCUGUAAUCCCAGCACUUUGGAAGGCCGAAGCGGGGGGAAUCACCUGAGGUCAGGAGUUCAAGACCAGCGUGGCCAACGUGGUGAAACCCCAUGUCUACUAAAAAUACAAAAAUUAGCCAGGCAAGGUGGCGGGCACCUGUAAUCCCAGCUACUCGGGAGGCUGAGGCAGGAGAAUCAGUUGAACCCAGGAGGUGGAGGUUGCAGUGAACCGACAUUGAGCCACUGUACUCCAGGCUGGGCAACAGGGUGAGACCCUGUCUAAAAAAAAAAAAAAAAAAAAAAAAGAAAAAAAAAAAAGAAAAUUCAACUCGGGAUGAACAACAGCUUUUGAUUUUAGAACCAGCUCUUACUUUUCUCUCGUGUCAUACGUAAUGAAGUCCUCACUUGACAUUUCCCUGCAAAUUGCAAUGCAUGUCCUCACCAUCAGCUUUUUCUGACACUAAAAUUAAUUUGUAUAAAUUGCAAAAGCAAUGAAAUUGUACUUCCAAUUCUGAACCUCUGAUCAGAUUCCUGCUUUGACACAAGACUUACUCCUCUGCAGUGUACCCCACCAGCACAACCACCCCCUUUCUCUCUAUUCUUUGCCCUGAAGGCACUUCUGGAUUGCUUAACGUGUGCUCUUUGGCUGCCUAGACAGUCAGUACACCUAAGGCCAUCUGGACUUAACACUCCCUUCCUCCUUCUUUUCUAUGGUUAAUAUCACUUUCCUGCUUUCUUUCUACUGCUGAAUCUCCAGAUUGGUGCUGCCAUCUUGCCACCAGAAUCGACCUGGGCUUCGAGCUCCUGGAUGGUAAAGCUUCAUCCCUGGAUGAUCCUGAAGUAUAAUGAAAUAUGUUACUGUUAGAACAAUGCUAAUAUGCUUUAAAUGGGAUUAUCAGGUCAUAUCUUAUAUAUAUUAAUAUAUACUAAAGCUCAGUAAUUUAAGACCAAAAAUGUGAGGGCAUGGUAAAUGACAACUUGCCCAUUUCCUCUCUCCAUCUCCAAAGAAAAGCAACCAUUUUAUAAUUAUUAUUUUAUAAGCCUGGUUCAGUUUCUUUUUUUUCAGAGAUAUCAUCUCACUGUGUCACCCAGGCUGAAGUGCAAGUGGCACAAUUGCAGCUCACUGCAGCCUCGACAUUCCAGACUCAAGCGAUCCUCCCACCUCAGCUCCCUAGUAGCUGGGAUUGCAGGCAGGUGCAACCACACUGGGCUAAGUUUUUAAAUUUUUAGUAGAGAGGGGGUCUCCCUAUGUUAUCCAGGCGGGUCUUGAACUCCUGAAGUUAAGUGAUCCUCCCGCCUUGGCCUCCGAAAUGCUAGGAGACGGGGUUUCGCCAUGUAGGCCCAGCUCGUCUCCAACUGCUGACCUCAAGUUAUCUGCCUGCCUCAGCCUCCCAAAGUGCUGGGCUUAUAGGGAUGAGCCACCGUGCCUGGCCUAUAGUUAUUAAGGACAUGAAAUUAUGCUUUAUGAGGAAGUGGUCCUCACCCCCACUGCCUACAACACAAGAAAGGAGAGGAAGGGAGCAAACUAGAAGAAGAAAGGUGGUAUUGGGGGAAAGGAUAUCAAUUAAAGAUGGAUUUUAAAAAUUGCUUCGCAGGAGGGAGGGCCCUCCUGUGGUUUCACUGGUUGAUCUGGCUGAGGGAUUUUCUCCAGCGACACUUGCAGCUUAGGGGCAAGAGGCUCCCACAACACCCUGUGCUACCUCGACCCUUCUGACAUUGUGCAUCAUGAUCUGAUUAUUGCUAUUUGCCUCUUGCCAAUAUUGAACCAUGAGUUCAACACAGACAAGGACUUAUUUUAAUCCUUGACCCCAGGGCCGGGCACACAGUCAGUGAUUGGUACAUGUUUGCUAAAUGAAUGAGCAAAUGGAAGAAAUUGAAGAGGGUGGGGUGGGGACGUGUGGUUUAUCCAGAGCUGGACAGGCAAGGCAAGUAGAACAGAAGAGGGAGGUGCUGACGUGAAAACGGCCUUGAGAUGGCUGGCAACAGGCUAGACAAAGAGGCAAGGGAUGUCAGCUCAUGCCUGGUGGUUCAGGAGAAUGGCUUCUCUUAAGGCCAACUCCUCUAACCUCUAUCUUGGCUUCCAUUUUCACCUGCCUUUGCAGGAAGCCUACAGUAUUAGUAGUCUCUUUCUCUUGGGUAUUCAUUCUUUUAGAGCUUUCCUUUUGGCUUCUAAACUUACUUUCUCAUAUUUAAAAUAAUGCUUCAUUAACACCAUUAACCUAUGUAUCUCAAUUUCUUUCACAGCUGUGUUAGUCUGUUUUCACAGUGGUAGAAAGAAAUACCCGAGACUGGGUAGUAUAUAAAGAGAAGAGAUUUAAUUGACUCACAGUUUCGAAUGGCUCGGGAGGCCUCAGGAAAUUUAAAAUUAUGGCAGAAGGUGAAGCAGGCAUGCCUUACAUGACAGCAGGCGAGAGGUGAAUUGCGAGUAUAGGAAAAACUGCCACUUUUAAGACCAUCAGAUCUGGUGUGACUCACUCAUUAUCAGGAGAACAGCAUGAGGGAAACCAGCCUCCUAAUCCAAUCACCUCCCACCAACUUCCUCCCUUGACACAUAAGGAUUACAAUUCAAGAUAAGAUUUGGGUGGGGACACAGAGCCCAACCAUAUCAACAGCCAUAUGAGAAGUCUUCAAAAAGUCCAUGGAAAAUGUGUAUUAUCAAGAAACUGUGCAUGGAUUGCAAAAUCUUUUUGAGGGCUGGGCAUGGUGACUCACCCCUGUAAUCCCAGCACUUUGGGAAGCUGAGACUGGUGGAUCACUUGAGGUCAGGAGUUUGAUACCAGCCUGGCCAACAUGGUGAAACCUCGUCUCUACUAAAAAACAGAAAAAUUAGCCAGGUGUGGUGGUUCACACUUGUAUUCUCAGCUACUCAGGAGGCUGAGGGAGGAGAAUAGCUUGAACUGGGGAGGUGAGGUUGCAAUGAGCUGAGAUCGCGCCACAGCACUGCAGCCUGGGCGACAGAGUGAGACUCCAUCUCAAAAACAAAAUCUUUUUGCACCAAAACAAACUGGUACUAACGCAUUAUAAAAUGUCUCAACAGGAUCUAGUUUGAGUCAUUAAAAAGGAGAAGUCAUCAGUUUGAAAAGAGCUACAAUCAGAGCAAAAUGAAUUCUGCUAAAAUUGAAGGAACAACAAACGUCAAAUUUAGGGUGAGGUUAGGGUGGAAGAAUGGUAAAAUCACUGAUGCUUUACCAAAAGUUUAUGGGGACAAUGCACCUAAAUAAAUCAGCAGUUUAUAAAAAUAGUUAAUUUGUAAGAAAGGACAAGACGAUGCUGAAGAUGAAGCCUGCAGCAGCAGGUCAUCCACAUCAAUUUGUGAGAAAAAAAAUUUAUCUUCUUUGUGCCCUAAUUUGGAAGGACCAACGAUUAACAGCAGAAACAACAGUCAACACCAUAGACAUCACAAUUGGUUCAGCUUACAGAAUUCUGACUGAAAAAUCAAAAGUUGAGCAAACUUUCCACUUGAUGGGUGCCAAAACCAGAUCAGCUGCAAAGAACAGAGCUUUCAAUGGAAAUUUUAAACAAGUAGGCUCUAUUGGUUGCUACAAAAUUAAUUGCAGUUUUUGCCAUUGAAAGACAUGUCAAAAACCGCAAUUACUUUUGCCCCAACCAAUAGAUCAUGAAGCAUCUAUUGGGAAAGUGUAACAGGAGGUGAAAUGUGGCUUUCCAACUAUGGAGACAAAGUACAAUCGAAGUAAUGGCUCCGAAGAUGUGGAAGUGGUCCAGUCAAAGCAAAAGUGGUCUGGUCAAGAGCAAAGGUCAUGGAAAUAGUUUUUUGAGCUGCUUGAGAAAUUUUGCUUGUUGACUUUCUGGAGGGCCAAAGAAAAAUAACAUCUGCUUAUUAUGAGAGUGUUUUGAGAAAGCCAAAGCUUUAGCAGAAAAAUGCCCAGGAAAACUUCACCAGAGAGUCCUUUUCUAUCACAGCAAAGGUUCUGCUCACGCCUCUCAUCAAACGGGAAAUUUUGAGAGAGUUUCAAUGGGAAACCAGUAGGCAUUCACCCUACAGUUGGUAUUUAGCUCCUUCCAACUUCUUUUGGUUUCCUAAUGAUAAAAAAUCUGUAAAGGGUACCAUUUUUUUUCCAGUUAAUAAUGUAAAAAAGAUUGCAUUGAUGUAAAUUCCCAGGAACUCCAAUUCUUUGGGGAUGGAUAAAAUGGCUAGUAUCUAAGUGCUGUGAGCAAGAGACAAAAAUAAAUAAAUAAAUGGCUAAUAUCAUUGCCUACAAAA